CAGCGGGCGGCGGUGGGUGGAGAUGCGUGGCUUCCGGCGCACGGCGGGUCUAGCUGCUGGUAGGGAUGGAGACUUGGGGCCGCGUCUCCCAGGGGCCUUCUCGCGGGGGUGAUGGUGGGACAGUCACUUCUUUCUUUUGAAGGCCUGAAGAAGACUGGCCUCCCCUGAGCAAGAGAGAAUUCUCCAAGCAGACCGCUUUUGGACUAGAACUGCAGCAUCAGUUCCCCUGACUCUCCAGUCGGCUUGCUCACAUUGCAGAUUUUUGGACUUGUCAGCCUCCAUAAGUCAUAUCUGACAAUUCCUCCUAAGAUAGAGACAGCCAACAAGAGAGGAAACACAAGCAGGGGGAGUGGGAGGAGCCCGCAGG